GGGGCCUUAGCUCAGCUGGCUAGAGCGCCGCCCUUGCAAGGCGGAGGUCAAGGAUUCGAAUUCCUUAGGCUCCA
rnacentral:tRNA from 1 species